CCCAAUUCUAUCUUUUUUUCUCUAAUCAUAUUAUCUCUCCUUCUCUUCCAUCGACAACCACUUAUUCCUCAUCUCCUCCUCUGUCUUUUUUUUCAAUUUUCUACAUCAACCGUCAACCACUUAUUCUAAAUCUUAUGCAUCAACCACAUCUAUUAUUGUUGAUUCCAACUCUUUUUUUUUUCUUUUAAAUCUCUAAUCGACGAGAAGAAUCAAAACUCUAGUUCUCGUGGUUCUUUUUAGAUUGGAUUCAAAGUGGCUAUUUUGCUAUGUAUCAGCCGGAGAAGAUCGAAAGCUUCAGAGUUUGAAGCUGAUUCGCUGUCAAAAUUAUAUAAUUUGGCGGUCAUGAUCUUAGAUGCAGGUUUCACCUUUGGCUUCUGAUUUUUAUUCAUGAAAGGAAUGUAUAAGUUAUGUGGUGAAGAAGCAUGCUAUGAAGAGAUUAGAGCCUCCAUUAAAAUCUUUAAUGAUUUUGGCAAAGCUCAUAGGUUCACCCAUAAAUCUUUCUUGUACAUGUGGAUAAUAUAUGUAAUUUGUACAUGUGGAUAUCACAAUCGUACAUGUGAAAAUUAUUUACAUCACUGUACAUUUGGAUCAUGAUAAACAAGUACAUCUACAAACUGCUUAUACAUGUGUUUUACAA